rnacentral:rRNA from 1 species
CUAAUACUUCAUAAUAUCCAUCUCGUAUGGAUUAAAGCUUUAUGCGCUUUGGGAGGGGCCUGCGUAACAUUAGCUUGUUGGUGAGGUAAAAAGCUCACCAAGGCUUCGAUGUUUAACUGGUUUGAGAGGAUGACCAGUCACACUGGGACUGAGAUACGGCCCAGACUCCUACGGGAGGCAGCAGUAAGGAAUCUUCCACAAUGGGGCAACCCUGAUGGAGCAAUACCGCGUGCAGGAUGAAGCGUUUCGGCGUGUAAACUGCUUUUAUCACCGAAGAUUAUGACUGUAGGUGAAGAAUAAGGACCGGCUAACUACGUG